rnacentral:rRNA from 1 species
UGUGUAGGCGGUCCCCUAAGUUUGGUGUGAAAUCUCCCGGCUCAACCGGGAGGGUGCGCCGAAAACUGGAGGACUAGAGUGCGGGAUGGGAGAGUGGAAUUCCUGGUGUAGCGGUGAAAUGCGUAGAUAUCAGGAGGAACACCGGUGGUGUAGACGGCUCUCUGGACCGUAACUGACGCUGAGACACGAAAGCGUGGGUAGCAAACAGGAUUAGAUACCCCGGUAGUCCACGCCCUAAACGAUGCAUAUUUGGUGUAGGUCAUUCAGUUGAUCUGUGCCGGAGCUAACGCGUUAAAUAUGCCGCCUGGGGAGUACAGUCGCAAGGCUGAA